AAUGAACGCUGGCGGCGCGCCUAAUACAUGCAAGUCGAGCGAGAAGACGUAGCAAUACGUUUGUAAAGCGGCGAACGGGUGAGGAAUACAUGGGUAACCUACCCUCGAGUGGGGAAUAACUAGCCGAAAGGUUAGCUAAUACCGCGUACGCUCCUUGGACUUCGGUUCAGGGAGGAAAGCGAUACCGUGGGUAUCGCGCUCUUGGUUGGGCUCAUGUCCUAUCAGCUUGUUGGUGAGGAACGGCUCACCAAGGCUUCGACGGGUAGCUGGUCUGAGAGGACGAUCAGCCACACUGGCACUGCGACACGGGCCAGACUCCUACGGGAGGCAGCAGUAAGGAAUAUUGCGCAAUGGGCGAAAGCCUGACGCAGCGA
rnacentral:rRNA from 1 species